rnacentral:rRNA from 1 species
CCUACGGGUGGCAGCAGUGGGGGAUAUUGCACAAUGGGGGAAACCCUGAUGCAGCGACGCCGCGUGAGUGAAGAAGUAUUUCGGUAUGUAAAGCUCUAUCAGCAGGGAAGAAAAUGACAGUACCUGACCAAGAAGCCCCGGCUAACUACGUGCCAGCAGCCGCGGUAAUACGUAGGGGGCAAGCGUUAUCCGGAUUUACUGGGUGUAAAGGGAGCGUAGACGGUUAAACAAGUUAUAUGUUAAAUAUAUAGGCUUAACCUGUAGAAAGCAGAUAAAACUGUUUAACUAGAGUGCAGGAGAGGUAAGUGGAAUUCCUAGUGUAGCGGUGAAAUGCGUAGAGAUUAGGAAGAACACCAGUGGCGAAGGCGACUUACUGGACUGUAACUGACGCUGAGGCAUGAGAGCAUGGGGAGCAAACAGGAUUAGAUACCCUGGUAGUC